CCCCUCUCUUCACCUAUUUUACUCUCUCCCUCGCAUUGCUAUCCCUAUGUUGCGAUUCUUUAUCGAGUCACGUGUCCUAUUCCACUUGUUUACCAUAAUACUCCUAUAUGUAUCAUUCCUUACCCAUAGCCGUUGAUUGAUGUUUGAGCCUUGCGAGUCGUAGGCGUGUUUAGGCUCUGUUGUUAUCUCGAUCUGAUAUCGGGAAUUUUGGGUUAUUGGGAGGUUAUCACAUGCUAUAUCAGUUGUUGGAGAUACACAUGCUUUACUUAUUUGUUAACAACUAAAAUUGUAAGCAGAGGCAUCUGUGAGCCCCUUUGCGAAAGCAUCGGAACUUUGACUCGCUAAUGUCCCCUAGGACCCGAGUUCUUGUUAUCUGUUCCGAGAUUGAGCGCUCUACCCAUGCGUGGGGACGAUUAUUGGGACCCCCCUCACCCAUUACCUUUUCUCAAGUCAGUUGAAAAGGGGGCCACAACCUUGGUUUUAUUUGGCGCAUGCAUGUUUAUAUAUUGUUGCCUUCGGGUGUUUACUUCCUGUUGCCUUCGGGUGUUUAUUUUCUGUACUGUACCCCGCGGAACGUUUAGCGAAGCGUGUGGUUUGCACGCCUAGCCGUUAACGCAAACCCUGAGUCCGCUUCGGAGUACGGCCGGGUUUCGUUACGGGUAGCUUAGUCGGGUGGCCCCCCUAGACUUUCUUGUUGAACUGGGAACGGUCUUGUUGUGAGACAUCCACCUAUCUUAAGUGGGUCGAGCAUGCGUAUGGUUACAUUUGGGCAACCCCUGCAGGGUGUACAUCUUAUCGAUAAGCCGUGUCCGCGGUUAUGGACGACUUGGAAUUGUAUAGCUUGAUCAUAGAACAACUUACACCUUAUACUUGUUGUUAAUAAUCUGAUAAUAACUUGCGUAGUAAUAUAGCAUUACUACAACCGAUACCUAAUAAAACUUGUCCACCGUUGAGUGCCUUUUACAUUGCCUCUUCGCAAUUGUUGGAGGGGAUAUGUGUAAUCGGCUGGGUUAUGUUUGUGUAGUAUUUUAUCUAUCACCUUGUGCGCUCUCUUAUCUUAUCUGAUUAGACGGAUGUUGUAGCGUGUCUCUACUGGUUAUAGUUUUGCUGCCGCUAAACCUACCAUAUAGCCCCCGGCGAUAUAUAUAUUAUACUCGCCCGGCGAGCAUAGCCAUUUCUAGUCUCGCUAAGUACGUGCCGGAGUUCAUUCCUUGGUACUUACUCUCGCCUUUUCCCCUUUCUCUUUUGCUUCCUCCCUCUUGUCGGCAACCGAUGGCCCGACUUUGACAGGUACAAGAUGACGACGUUAGCAAGGUUACCCUUCCGGCUUGGCCUGGGCAGGGUUAUGGACGCCACUGGUUAUCUUCAGGACUCUUAGUCCAAUUUGUAUCUUGUCCGUACCCGGACGUAUUCGAUCUUCUGUAUGAUUUGGAUCUUUGUAUUGUAUAUUUGUAUCUUGACUCGUUGGAGUCGUUGUUGUAAUAUAUGUAUCUUGUGGGCUCUAUUGUAAUCCUGUUGUAAUGUUA